rnacentral:rRNA from 1 species
CAGCAGCCGCGGUAAUACGUAGGGGGCAAGCGUUAUCCGGAUUUACUGGGUGUAAAGGGAGCGUAGACGGAAUGGCAAGUCUGAAGUGAAAUACCCGGGCUCAACCUGGGAACUGCUUUGGAAACUGUUGUUCUAGAGUGUUGGAGAGGUAAGUGGAAUUCCUGGUGUAGCGGUGAAAUGCGUAGAUAUCAGGAAGAACACCGGAGGCGAAGGCGGCUUACUGGACAAUAACUGACGUUGAGGCUCGAAAGCGUGGGGAUCAAACAGGAUUAGAUACCCUGGUAGUCCACGCUGUAAACGAUGAAUACUAGGUGUCGGGGUGCAAAGCAUCUCGGUGCCGUCGCUAACGCAAUAAGUAUUCCACCUGGGGAGU